UGAUGGAACAGCCUGUGUUGGUGGGUAGAGGAAGCAUGAUGGAACAGCCUGUGUUGGUGGGUAGAGGAAGCAUGAUGGAACAGCCUGUGUUGGUGGGUAGAGGAAGCAUGAUGGAACAGCCUGUGUUGGUGGUAGAGGAAGCAUGAUGGAACAGCCUGUGUUGGUGGGUAGAGGAAGCAUGAUGGAACAGCCUGUGUUGGUGGGUAGAGGAAGCAUGAUGGAACAGCCUGUGUUGGUGGGUAGAGGAAGCAUGAUGGAACAGCCUGUGUUGAUGGGUAGAGGAAGCAUGAUGGAACAGCCUGUGUUGGUGGGUAGAGGAAGCAUGAUGGAACAGCCUGUGUUGGUGGGUAGAGGAAGCAUGAUGGAACAGCCUGUGUUGGUGGGUAGAGGAAGCAUGAUGGAACAGCCUGUGUUGUGGUGCAAUCUUGACUCUGGGCUGCGUCCCAAAUGGGACCCUACCCC
ensembl:lncRNA